rnacentral:lncRNA from 1 species
GGCAGAAGACAAGCGUUUAUUGUGCGCUUCUAACCUAUAUCAUGAAAGGAGGGGAAGGGGGCAAAGAGGGAACAAGGCAAGAGAGAAGAACGCACGCACAAGCUGUUCU